UACGGAGGGUGCAAGCGUUAUCCGGAUUCACUGGGUUUAAAGGGUGCGUAGGAGGGCAGGUAAGUCAGUGGUGAAAUCUCCGAGCUUAACUUGGAAACUGCCGUUGAUACUAUCUGUCUUGAAUAUUGUGGAGGUGAGCGGAAUAUGUCAUGUAGCGGUGAAAUGCUUAGAUAUGACAUAGAACACCAAUGGCGAAGGCGGCUUUCUGGACGGUAACUGACGCUGAGACGCGAAAGCGUGGGGAGCAAACAGG
rnacentral:rRNA from 1 species